GGGCUGUAGCUCAGUGGCAGAGUGACUGCCUGGCCCCAGGUUCAAUCCCCGACAGCACCU
rnacentral:tRNA from 1 species